CACGAGUGACGUUUGCAAGAUAGAAUGGGGAAUUUCCAAGUGCAAAAAUCCCUAUGAAAUUGCAGUGAGCUAUCGCAAUUCACCAAGUGCUCUACGCGCACUGCCUCCAUUACUCCCGAUUCGUCAUGGAUCGAUCGAAGCAUUGCUCGAGAUUGAACUUACUUAUUCCAUUCGUACGUCCCAAGAUCUGCAUAACAACACCGACAAGAAUACAAGUGACACGAAUCGUACGGCAAAUGCCCUUCUCUUAGCAGCGCUUCAAGAUAUAGGCCAAUAAACCAGACGCCGGAUAUCAGCACACGGCAGGACACGUAUUUCGUCGCUGUGCAAACGUCACCGAUCUACAGACAUAUUCUUCGUGCUUCUUGCAGCAGCUACUCAGGAAUAUAAAUCGUGCUAAUGGUACGUACACAGUGAGAAUAUCGACAGGAUCCAUACGAGAGAUUCAGGAAGACGAAGAAAAAAAUGAGAAAAAAAUCCAACAGAGAGAAGAGUGUCCAAAGAAUCAGGAAUUAUAAUUGCCGCUGGUUUAUUCGCUUACGGUGCCGUAUCCAUUGAGCCAGUAAUCGCAUUAAGUAAUUGCGGCAAGGGAAGAUACUCCAAGAGCCACUAGAAUCUCUAACGAACCGGUAACCUGAGGCAGGAUUGUCAAGCCAACAUAUAAGGAGAGUCCAUGUUUUAUGAACAAGUUAGCCAAACUAGUUUUUAAUUAAUCGUCCGGUGCAAUUAAGAAUCUCGAGAUUCGCCUAUUACAGUAGAAAAGCUCAGUCCGUAGUCGACUUGGGAUGUCCACGUUGCCCUCUCGAUUGCCAGAGGAAGAUUGCUCCUAGCAAAAAGAUGGCAGCUGUUCAGCGAGCAAACGCUCUGAUAACUUCAUCGCCGCAGAAUAGGUAGUGCCUGGGUCAGUAGGUAUAUAUAUAUAUAUAGGUACACAUAAUACAGGAACUAUAUACUAUAGGCAGCAGGUGUAUGGGAGCCCUAAUGAAGCCUGGUUGGUUCAUUCGAUUUUUCCUUGGACAAUCCAGAAAAAUUAGCUUCGUAGUCUCGCGUCAUCUAGCUUCUCUCUUUCUUAUCUUUCUAAUUAGCCGAGGAUACCUUAGACCUCACUGUACAUACGAACGAUAGAUUAUCCGUUGAUGAUCUCGAUGAGUCUUUCAAUAACGUGAAAUCAAUUUGACCGAUACUAUCUCUUUGCAGUCUGCGAUUAUACCGCAUUGCCAGGUUAUGUAUACUUCUAUCCCGGCGUCUUUCUUCUUCUUAUUCUUCGUCCUCCUUCCUCUUCUUCUUGCUUUCCGACCGCGAUGGAAUAGCGGUAAUCGUAUGAAAGAGUAUACACACGUAUAUGUAUACGUAUGUUAAUGGUGGCGAAACGAUAAGUGCGUAAUAUGCCGGCGGUGUACCUCGCGACCACCGGCGUAGCGCAAUAAUGACGCACAUCUUUCGAUUUUAUUAUUUUAAUGCCCCGUACGACCCACGCAGCUCGCAUAUUUAUUACUGAUUUAGCGUACGGGAAUAUUUCAUUGAAGACGCGUCUCGGUCGCCGAACGUUAACUGCCAGCUUUUAAUUACUUUGUUUCUUAAGUCAGCCAGUUAAGUCCUAUUUAUGUGUAUGU